GGUCAAGUGAAGAAGCGCAUACGGUGGAUGCCUUGGCAGUCAGAGGCGAUGAAAGACGUGGUAGCCUGCGAAAAGCUUCGGGGAGUCGGCAAACAGACUUUGAUCCGGAGAUGUCUGAAUGGGGGAACCCAGCCAUCAUAAGAUGGUUAUCUUGUACUGAAUACAUAGGUGCAAGAGGCGAACCAGGGGAACUGAAACAUCUAAGUACCCUGAGGAAAAGAAAUCAACCGAGAUUCCCUUAGUAGUGGCGAGCGAACGGGGACUAGCCCUUAAGUGGCUUUGAGAUUAGCGGAACGCUCUGGAAAGUGCGGCCAUAGUGGGUGAUAGCCCUGUACGCGAAAAUCUCUU
rnacentral:rRNA from 1 species